UAUUGGUCGAGAGAAAUGAUGGCAGGCUUGCGUGCCAAUCGAUUGCCGUUGGUAGGCUUGGGUCUGGUCGGUCGGUCCGUUGGGUAUGGUUGCUGGUCGAGGGAAUGGUAGGGUGGCGAACGCGUGGAGGAGGGGCGGCGAGCGUAGAGAGAGCGAAACAGAGAGAGGGGGGCAGCCGCCUCGGCAGGAAGUGAGCCCCGAGAGUGGGACCCCAAGGCGAAAUCCACAAAUGCUCAGACGGUUCCGUUCUUCCGUGGAGAGUGGAGGUCGCUGCUACUCGUUCUUAUUCUUAUUCUUCGUUGUCGUCGUCGUUGUCGCCGCUGUCCGCAUCGACGACCACGAGAGAAAUCACGGCGAUCAAAAGUAGACACCGCGUGUUCACGCGCAACGGUACACGCGACACGCGUGCAGACCAUCGGUUGGAACGAGGAGUCAUCGUCGUCGUUGUUAUCGUCGAGACAGUGAUCGAAGAGAUCGUCGCCGACGUGCCGGUGUCGAAGAGCUACGCGCGUUCGCGGAUCGCUCGCUCGAUCGGUUAGUGUUGCCGUUUCAAGCUACGAACAGCCGGACGGUUCUGUUUUUUCCGUGUCGGAGUUUUCUCGAGCUCGAGGGAAUCUUUGCAUCGUCGCGAUCCGAUUCGUCGAGCGUAUCGCGAGCCUGCAGCCAGUCACGAGCGAGCUGUCGGGCUACCAAGAGAGACGGAGCAAACAGGAGAAACAAGGAGAAACCGGGAGGACGCGCAGCGUGCCAGGGGAAGAAAGUGACAGUGCGUCAGUACUCCGGUCGGGCUCUGGCGUGAAUCACGGAUCGUCGUCGAAGCUGUCGCAACAGGAGAGGAGAAGAGAGAAGAAGUAGCGUGCACGAGGAGAGUACGCGGGGGGAUGAAAACUGUGUUGAUAUGAGUAGCGUCGAGUGUACGGUGAUCAGACGGAGCCACGGUGACUUUUCGUGAUUAUCAAACAUCGAACGACGACGUUAGUGUUAACCAGAGGCUCGUCUACGAGAGACUGAAUAGCGGCAGUUGGAUAGUAAUGCUGGAACGCGAAUUCUAUCGUAGACGAACGGUGCGCGGUGAUCCCGUGCUCGAUUGAGGAGUCUUUUAUCGCGUCGGUACGCGUUCGAGUGUAUCGAGUUGGUGGUAGAAAGGAUUUACAACCCGGUGACUUUUCUCGUGUUCUCGACGAAAAGAUAACGAACGAGAAACCGAGGAGAGAACGAACAUUGGCCAGGAGUGACUGUUACGGGAAUAGUGAGACAGUGACGGUGGUGUUGACGAUCCGUACAUGAUCGAGAAAGGAUCGAAAAGCGACUUCCAUGUCAGACUCUUGGAGAGAAACGAGGAGACUCGUCGUCGAGUAGCGUUCACCGGUUCGUCGUGAACACGGUGUAACAUCGGUGACGUCGUCACCAACGAGGCUCGACGAGGCAAGCGGUACACAGGGUGCGCGAGUUCUCGGCGAUUCGUCGAAUUUCUUGACGUCGAGAAGUACCAGGAAAGGGCGGCAAACUGUACGGGCACCGGGAAGAAGAGAUGCUCACGAUGGAGUCGGACCUGAAGGGCGGCAGCCUGCACGGUCAAAUGCCACCGCACCCUCACCAGGGUGUAUCGCCGAUGGGCCACCACACGGGUGUCUCCCCGUACGGUAGCCUCGGCUCGAUAGUGCACAGUCCGGCCUUGUCCGGAAGUCCUCCGAGUACCGGAGGUCUCGGUCUCGGUCUCCAGCAUCAUCAUCAAACGCCUCAGCACCAUUACGCCUCGAUGCAGGCAGCGCAACAGCAGCAACAGCAGCAGCAACAACAACAAAGCAUGCACUCGCUGGCGCAACAAGCUGGUAGCCAACAGCAACAACAACAUCACCCCCAUCAGCAACAACAGCAACAGGCCCAGCCGCAACAACAUCAUCAGGCACCCAACAACAACAACAAUACCAGCAAGAACAAUAACAUCGACCGCGUGAAGAGGCCGAUGAACGCGUUCAUGGUAUGGUCCCGCGGACAACGGCGCAAGAUGGCGCAGGAGAACCCGAAGAUGCACAAUUCGGAGAUCUCGAAACGGUUGGGAGCCGAGUGGAAAUUGCUCAGCGAAACCGAGAAACGUCCGUUCAUCGACGAGGCGAAACGACUGCGCGCCGUGCACAUGAAAGAGCAUCCCGAUUACAAGUACAGGCCGCGACGCAAGACCAAAACGUUGUUGAAGAAGGACAAGUUCCCUCUGGGUGGCGGAGUAGCAGGUGUCGGUGGAAUGCUGGGCGUCGAUCAACGGCAAGUCGGUGGUACCGGUGGACCGCAGCAGGCUCAAUUGUCGCGCGACGUUUAUCAGAUGCCGAACGGUUACAUGCCCAAUGGCUACAUGAUGCACGAUCCGACGGCCGCGUAUCAACAACACGUCGCGUACGGCGGACACANNNNNNNNNNNNNNNNNNNNCACAUGGGUGGCGCGGCAGCCGCGGCCGCGGCCUCAGCGGCCGCUUACCCCAGGUACGACAUGGGACACCACAUGGGCGGCGGUAGUCCAAGCCCCAUCAACAGUUACAUGAACGGUUACGGUGGUUACGGUAGCACCACCGUGCCCGGUGGUUCGCCGUCGCCUUAUCACCAAGCUCAACCCGGCUCUCAGAUGUCGAGUCACAGUCCCAGCGGUAGCAGCAUAAAAUCGGAGCCGACGAGUCCGGCGAGCGGCGGUAUUCACACGCCGACGCCAACGGGAGCGUCGUCGACGGGCGGGGCCGGUAGCCAGGUGGUGAAACGAGAAUAUAUGGGCCAACAGCAGACGCAGCAAACGCAGGGUGACCUCAGGCAGAUGAUCUCGAUGUAUCUACCACAAGGAGUCGACCAGGGAGUCGUGCAACACGGAGCCGGCGUCUACUCGCCUGGACCGUCGCCGGAUCCGCUCGCGCAGCAUCACUCUGCCAUUCCGCCGCUCACUCAUAUGUCGGAGAGCGAUCGCAAAAUGUUGAAUCCAGACACAGGCUGUUACUCGGAAUCGGUCCGGGCAUGGGAUUGGAACGCGACGAGCAACGUACGCGUACAAGAAUCCUGGCCAACGUGAGCGUCCUUCGGCACGGCGAACUCGAACCUCUUCAGCACCGAAGGAUCAGGAUCCUUGAUUGUCUCGCGUCUGACGAACGGGAACACCGUGCACCGAAGCGCUACGCGAAGCUGCCCCAGCCCAGAACCAGUUAUGAACAUAUGAUUAAGCUCGUUUUAAU
rnacentral:misc_RNA from 1 species